UUCAUCAUUUACACACAGCUUCAUCAACACUAACUCCACAGUCUGAUCUUACCAGUGACAGUGAUGCUGAUGGUGUUACUGGUUGCUCCCUCUCUGGACUCACACCAGUAAACUCCACUGUCUGAUGUGAAGAUGUCGCUGAUGUUGCAGGAAGAACCAGCUGGUUCUCCUCCCCAGUCGUCACACUGAGUCCUGGUUCCUCUGGUUGUGUUCCUCCUCAGCGUCCAUCCAGCAGAGCUGUCGUCCUCCUCACAGCUCAGAGAGACAGACUCUCCUUCAAACAGCUGAGAGCUGCUGGGACUCACAGUCAGAGAGGCUGGAGGAAGAGACAGAAAGAUGUGGCAGCCAGAAGGAGGACUGAGAGCUUGGAGGAGCUCAGCAGGUGGAACAAAGCGUACUGGAGGAUUCUGGAAACACACUGAGCAGCUUUGGCCCCGGAGUAUUUGCCACUGUCAAUUUUAUAAACAAUUAAGGUGCCAAUAAAUGAAUAAACCCUG